UUGCUUCAGCAGCACAUAUACUAAAAUUGGAAUGAUACAGAGAAGAUUAGCAUGAUUCCUGCACAAGGAUGACACAUACAUUUUUGAAGUGUUUCAUAUUUUU